AGAGUUUGAUCCUGGCUCAGGAUGAACGCUAGCUACAGGCUUAACACAUGCAAGUCGAGGGGCAGCAUGGAAGAAGCUUGCUUCUUCUGAUGGCGACCGGCGCACGGGUGCGUAACGCGUAUCAAACCUGCCUCAUACUCGGGGAUAGCCUUGCGAAAGUAAGAUUAAUACCCGAUGUUGUUAUGUUUCCGCAUGGUGAUAUAACCAAAGAUUUAUCGGUAUGAGAUGGUGAUGCGUCCGAUUAGGUAGUAGGCGGGGUAACGGCCCACCUAGCCUUCGAUCGGUAGGGGUUCUGAGAGGAAGGUCCCCCACACUGGAACUGAGACACGGUCCAGACUCCUACGGGAGGCAGCAGUGAGGAAUAUUGGUCAAUGGACGGAAGUCUGAACCAGCCAAGUAGCGUGCAGGAUGACGGCCCUCCGGGUUGUAAACUGCUUUUAGUUGGGAAUAAAAAAAGGGACUUGUCCCUUCUUGUAUGUACCUUCAGAAAAAGGACCGGCUAAUUCCGUGCCAGCAGCCGCGGUAAUACGGAAGGUCCAGGCGUUAUCCGGAUUUAUUGGGUUUAAAGGGAGCGUAGGCGGAUUGUUAAGUCAGCGGUUAAAGGGUGUGGCUCAACCAUGCAUUGCCGUUGAAACUGGCGAUCUUGAGUGCAGACAGGGAUGCCGGAAUUCGUGGUGUAGCGGUGAAAUGCUUAGAUAUCACGAAGAACUCCGAUCGCGAAGGCAGGUGUCCGGGCUGCAACUGACGCUGAGGCUCGAAAGUGUGGGUAUCAAACAGGAUUAGAUACCCUGGUAGUCCACACAGUAAACGAUGUAUACUCGCGGUUUGCGAUAGAUUGUAAGCCGCCAAGCGAAAGCAUUAAGUAUACCACCUGGGGAGUACGCCGGCAACGGUGAAACUCAAAGGAAUUGACGGGGGCCCG
rnacentral:rRNA from 1 species